rnacentral:lncRNA from 1 species
CACCGGGUCGAGUAAAUGUACAGGAGUGUAUCAAAAAGAGGAAUCAAGUGUAAAGAUCUAGAAAUACUGACAAAUUUUCCUUUUGGAACUUGCUAUCUACAAUAAAGAAUUCAGCUACUACUUUGGCAAUCAAGGGUAAUUGCAAGAAAGAUUUUCCUCAAGACAUAGAGAAUGAAGCACAAUUGGAGAAACAGACGACUCGGCACAUAGAAUCUUUACACAAAACCCAAGCCCAGGCCCAAGCAUUCUGUUAGCACGGAAACCCUAAAGGCUGGUGAGCUUUUUGUUA